GGAAUUUUGCGCAAUGGGCGGAAGCCUGACGCAGCAACGCCGCGUGGAGGAAGAAGGCCCUCGGGUCGUAAACUCCUGUCCAUGGGGAAGAUGGUGACGGUACCCUUGGAGGAAGCCCCGGCUAACUCCGUGCCAGCAGCCGCGGUAAUACGGGGGGGGCGAGCGUUGUUCGGAUUUACUGGGCGUAAAGGGCGCGCAGGCGGCGCCGGAAGUCCUGGGUGAAAGCUCCCGGCUCAACUGGGAGAGGGCCUGGGAAACCACGGUGCUGGAGUGCUGGAGAGGGAAGCGGAAUUCCCGGUGUAGCGGUGAAAUGCGUAGACAUCAGGAGGAACACCGGUGGCGAAGGCGGCUACCUGGACCGGUUCUGACGCUGAUGCGCGAAAGCGUGGGGAGCAAAC
rnacentral:rRNA from 1 species